GUGAAAAAAACAGGAGCACAUAUACUAAAGUUGGAAGGAUACAGAGAAAAUUAGCAUGGCCCCUGUGUAAGGAUGAUACGCAUAUUCAUGAAGCAUUCCGUAUUUUA